rnacentral:rRNA from 1 species
GGCCCGUAAUCCGGGUUGCGGACAGUGUCUGGUGGGUAGUUUGACUGGGGCGGUCUCCUCCUAAAGAGUAACGGAGGAGCACGAAGGUUGGCUAAUCCUGGUCGGACAUCAGGAGGUUAGUGCAAUGGCAUAAGCCAGCUUGACUGCGAGCGUGACGGCGCGAGCAGGUGCGAAAGCAGGUCAUAGUGAUCCGGUGGUUCUGAAUGGAAGGGCCAUCGCUCAACGGAUAAAAGGUACUCCGGGGAUAACAGGCUGAUACCGCCCAAGAGUUCAUAUCGACGGCGGUGUUUGGCACCUCGAUGUCGGCUCAUCACAUCCUGGGGCUGAAGUAGGUCCCAAGGGUAUGGCUGUUCGCCAUUUAAAGUGGUACGCGAGCUGGGUUUAGAACGUCGUGAGACAGUUCGGUCCCUAUCUGCCGUGGGCGCUGGA